GGCUGACCUGUGGAGAUCAGAGCUGUACAGAAAUAGUACUCUGUACCUGAGCCUUUUGUUGACAGUCUCGUCACCAUGGUGAUGCCUGCCCCAGCCUGACUCCUCAAGAAGAAGAUGCCUUCUCUUGGAUGACAAAUGACUUCCUGGACCUUCUCAUUUCACACGGAGUCUCACCGGGACUUGAGGCCCUGUUGCAUUGUGAAAGCUUCUUGUCUCGCUCAGUUCAUAGUGUUUUCUAGAGUGAAGUUCCUAGUAGCUUGAAGUGUCAGUUUGACCCAGCCUAGAGUUCUCAAAGACACAAGUUUCAAUUGAGGAGUUUCCCAGGUUUAGACUGGCCUGUAGGCCUGGCCUUGGAGGAUUGCUUGACUGUCAAUUAAUGCAGAAGGGUCCAGCCCACUGUCGUAGCACCAUCCCUAGGCAAGUGGUCUGAGAGGUAAAGGACAGCUAGCCAAGCAUGAGUGACGUAGCAGGCAGCAGUACUCCACAGUUUCUGCCCCAAGUUUCUGCUUAAUUUUCCGCCCUGACUUUCCUCAAUGAAGAACUGUAACUUGUACAAUGAAAUCAAUCAAUUACCCUAUAAUUGGCCUUGUGAAAAGCGUUUUACCAUAGUAACAGAAAGGGAGUUGGCCUUGUAAAAAGAAGUUUUACCAUAGUAACAGAAAGGGAGUUAGAGUCGUGGCUAUAGUGGAUUCAAAAUGCUAUAGAAACCACAUAAAGAGAUCUCCAAGUGAAGAGAGAAAGAGAACAGCCUACCCCAGGAAACCUGGACAGUGGACAGUAGUUAUAAUGCCCUCAUUGGCUAACAGUACUAAAUAGGCGGCAUUUUAUGAGCACAUUUAUGCCAGACAACUGGUACGGUGUGAUUAAUAACAUUUGUUCUUUGAAAAACCUUCUCAGAACACAUGAAGUCACGUUCGUUCUCAAGCGUGGACUGCCACCCAACGAUGCAAAUUUAUGUUUUGGGAUUGGUCGAUUUUCUUCAAGUUACUAUCCUGCCAGUUCCACCGAGGGCGCGAAGCGAAGCUUUCAUCACUGUGCGACUUCAUCUCUAAAGUACCUGCACUUGCAGAACUCAACGCAUGCUUCACAGUCCAGUGGCCCAUUGACAGCACGCAUGCGUGAACAGGACCGCCUUACCCCACGACCAUCGCAACUCAAAAUCCUUGGAAUCCUUCCAGUGGCGCUUUCUGUGACUCGAUUCCCAACUCUACUACAAGUCUAGGCCAAGGCCUAAUCAGUACCUGAUACUCCUCGGCGUCAGACCUUCUGGUAAAUUCGAGAUUCCAGUGCGUGCCACGGUACUUCUCAACCACUUCCUCUUUCAGCAGUCUUCAAGGUGGUAAAGAGUGGGUACCAAUCAGAAGACACAGGGUUGGAUUACUCACUCUGAGAUCCAACCCCAAAUUUUAUCUCCUUUUGUUCAUGAAUUUGUGUGCUAGCAGAUGUUGGGCCACGGAGGAGCCAUUGAGAGUUCAAACCCUUAUUGCUGCUAAACUUGGGCUUGCUAACCCAUUGGACUGAAAUCAAUGAGUGAGACAGCCCCAGACACUUGCCGGUCACCGCGAUUUUGGUGGCUGGAAAAGAUUGCUUAUCCAAGCCUUCAUUUCCGAGUUUAUCGUUCAGUACAGCCUUUCACAAAUGGAAUUUUAAAUUUCUUUCCAAAAGACCAUGGUAGCAUUGCUAAGUAAUUAUAUAUAUCAACUCAUUAUGUAAAUCAACUUAAUUAACAUUUUAAGGCAUGCCAUAUUUUACGAAACCAUUAGAUUUUCUAAAGUUGUGCUGGGUUAAAAGUUGUCACACAUCAGCUUGUAUUAUUUUUAGCUCAUGGCUCCAACGAAGACUAAAGUAAGUUUGUCCCCCCCCCCCAUUUAUACCAUUUGAGGUCUUUGGUUUUACUAGGAUUUGAUACUUUCAUUGAAGAUGUUUCAAACUUAAAGGCUAGCCAGAUGCUCUAUUCAAUUUAUUUGUUAAGUGUUAGGUUUAAUUGCCACUGACUUAAUCAAGGCUGGCUUUUGUUUCAGACAGUGGGAGACAUUUAUCACCACACUUCUGACUUAGUCAGAGGACACUGUAAAAACAGAAGGAAGUCGCUCCGCCAGUGACCAACACCAUGGGCGAGAAGGAGUGAGAAUGUUGAGAACAUGAGCUUUAAUCGAGAUUUCGAUCUUCAUCAGCAGACAACAAGUAGCUAGUCAAUUUAUUAUCUAUUUGAAGAUAAAUAUCUAACUUAGGAAAGCUGUUAAUAACAUGGAUAUAUAUAUAUAUAGGCUGGGAAAUACCAAGUUUGCUCAAGUGCUGUGGGACAGGGCUCACUUGGGCUGCUUUAUCAGGCUGCAGAAUAUAGGCUAUAGAUAGAUAGAUAGAUAGAUAGAUAGAUAGAUAGAUAGAUAGAUAGAUAGAUAGAGAUACAGAUACAUAUAUACAUAUAUAUAUAUACAUAUAUAUAACCAUGUUAUUAACAGCUUUCCUAAGUUACUCUUUGAUCUCUUUUAGCUUAUUAGUAUUAAUAUAAUACUGUUUUUCUACAGCGGUCAUUCUGGACAAGACUCAUAAAUCAAGAAAUGUUCUCAGGCAUGAAGCCGAAAUGAAAUUAAGAAUAUAAGUGGGAGAAACAGCCCGAUCCAAUAAACACUCUCAAGUCAUGUUUAGUGUUGCUGAC
ensembl:lncRNA